rnacentral:rRNA from 1 species
GCUACCAUGCAGUCGAGCGGAACGACACUAACAAUCCUUCGGGUGCGUUAAUGGGCGUCGAGCGGCGGACGGGUGAGUAAUGCCUAGGAAAUUGCCUUGAUGUGGGGGAUAACCAUUGGAAACGAUGGCUAAUACCGCAUAAUGCCUACGGGCCAAAGAGGGGGACCUUCGGGCCUCUCGCGUCAAGAUAUGCCUAGGUGGGAUUAGCUAGUUGGUGAGGUAAUGGCUCACCAAGGCGACGAUCCCUAGCUGGUCUGAGAGGAUGAUCAGCCACACUGGAACUGAGACACGGUCCAGACUCCUACGGGAGGCAGCA